AAUAGGAAACACAUUCUACAACUUCUCAUAGUGAAUGUCUAAGUUAUGCAUGUGUAAAACAAGCAGAAGAGGGGCAAGAAUUACACUUUUACUUAUGAAUCACCAGGCUAUGUCACACAGUCACCUUCAACACUUGAUGACUGCACAAUAAAGUGACAGCUUGCAUGCAGCAAUACAUAGAUCCCCACAGAUCAGUGGUUUCUAACAGAGCCAGCUGAUAUCCCAGCUGUAACUCAUCAAAAUGCCCACUGAACUAGCACGAAGUGUCAUACAGUCAGCUUCAUAUAUAUGAUAUGACCUUUGCGGUGCUAGUUGUACACCUUGGUCAGUAUGACUACCAUUUUAAUUGAAUUGACACUUAUACUUACUCAAAACUUUAAACAAGUCUAACUGUGAUUUCUCAGUAUAAGAGUCCCAAGCAUUCGUUUUACUUCCAGUGUGAAAAGUAUUAUAUAUGGAAAACUGAACAUCAAUUCUUAAAAGUCACAAUACAAAGAAAAAAACCACCAUAAUUCAGAAAGCAGGAUCAAAAAAGACCUCAACACAAGCUGUUAUGGAAGUAGCUGUUUCUUUAUAGUACAAUUUAAAUCUGGAAAUACUGGAAACUUUCACUUCAAAUUGUCAAAAAAGGGGUCAUCAGCAUGAAAAGCUACAAUGUACUCUGCUGUCAGAAUCAGUCCAAAAAUCCAUCUCUC